rnacentral:sRNA from 1 species
UUGAUUGCGAAUUGUUGCCUUCAGUGCUGGCCGGUUUCGGCAUGUGCACGCUGGUGACUUUCAUCCAAUACCCUGUGAACCUUUGGCCUCUUGCUAGCUUUGGCCGGCAGAGGAUUUUUACACAAACUCGAAUGUAAUGAAAUUUAUUGUCGUGCGCAAGCACUAAUGUACAACUUUCAACAACGGAUCUCUUGGCUCUCGCAUCGAUGAAGAACGCAGCGAAAUGCGAUAAGUAAUGUGAAUUGCAGAAUUCAGUGAAUCAUCGAAUCUUUGAACGCACCUUGCACCCUUUGGCAUUCCGAAGGGUAUGCUCGUUUGAGUGUCAUUGUACUCUCACACUCCUGAUGCUUUUUGGAUCGCGAGUGGUGGACUUGGGUGUUGCUGCUUUACUGUGGCUCACCUCAAAUGGAGUAGUGCAACUCUUGGUUGGACAUAGUACGGCGUGAUAAGUGUCUUCGCCGGCGCCUCAUUAGAGGGUGGCUGAUCGGGAGCUCUGUGCUUCAAACCGUCUUCGGACAACAUCUGACAACUUGACCUCAAAUCGAGUAGGACUAC